rnacentral:rRNA from 1 species
AGGGUUCGAUUCCGGAGAGGGAGCCUGAGAAACGGUACCAAUCCAAGGAAGGCAGCAGGGCGGCAAUUACCAAUCCGAUACGGGGAGGUAGUGACAAUAAAUAACAAUACAGGGCUUUUCAGUCUUGUAAUUGGCAUGAGUACCAUUUAAAUCUCUUAAGCGAGGAACAAUUGGCAGGGCAAGUCUGGUGCCAGCAGCCCGCGGUAAAUUCCAGCUCCAAUAGCGUAUAUUAACAGUUGUUGCAGUUAAAAAGCUCGUAGUUGACCUUCAGGCCUGGUUGGGCGGUCUGGCUCACGGUAUGUACUGUCUGACUGGGUCUUACCUCUUGGUGAGCCGGAUGCCCUUCAACUGGGUAGUGUCGGGGAACCAGGACUUUUACUUUGAGGAACACAU